CCUACGGGAGGCUGCAGUGGGGAAUAUUGCACAAUGGGGGAAACCCUGAUGCAGCGACGCCGCGUGAGUGAAGAAGUAAUUCGUUAUGUAAAGCUCUAUCAGCAGGGAAGAAAAUGACGGUACGUGAGUAAGAAGCCCCGGCUAACUACGUGCCAGCAGCCGCGGUAAUACGUAGGGGGCAAGCGUUAUCCGGAUUUACUGGGUGUAAAGGGAGAGUAGACGGCAGGGCAAGUCUGGAGUGAAAGGCGGGGGCUCAACCCCCGGACUGCUCUGGAAACUGUACGGCUGGAGUGCAGGAGAGGUAAGUGGAAUUCCUAGUGUAGCGGUGAAAUGCGUAGAUAUUAGGAGGAACACCAGUGGCGAAGGCGGCUUACUGGACUGUAACUGACGUUGAGGCUCGAAAGCGUGGGGAGCAAACAGGAUUAGAUACCCUAGUAGUC
rnacentral:rRNA from 1 species